CGUAUGGCGGACCGGCGCACGGGUGAGUAACGCGUAUGCAACCUGCCCGAUACCGGGGUAUAGCCCAUGGAAACGUGGAUUAACACCCCAUAGUACUUUUAUCCUGCCUGGGAUGGGAGUUAAAUGUUCAAGGUAUCGGAUGGGCAUGCGUCCUAUUAGUUAGUUGGCGGGGUAACAGCCCACCAAGACGAUGAUAGGUAGGGGUUCUGAGAGGAAGGUCCCUCACAUUGGAACUGAGACACGGUCCAA
rnacentral:rRNA from 1 species